GAUAUUAAACAAAGAACCAGGGCAAGGAAGGGUGCACAGCCUGAGCAAGGCUCAACGGUGUGAAAGGCUUGGGGAGUAAGAAGGUGCAGAGAACGCGGGAGUCCUGGGGUGAGGACCUGCAGAGGACAGGGAAAGCCAGCAGCUAUAUCAUGUGGACACUCCAGCAGUCCCAUGGAGAGAUCCACGUGGAGAAAAACUGAUUCCUCCUGCCAACAGCCAACGUGGACUUGCCAGCCAUGCGAGUGAGCCAACCUGGUCCCUCCAGCCCGUUACGCCUCCAGAGGACUGCAGCCUGGCCAACACCUUGACUGCAACUUCAUGAGAGACCCAGAGCUAGAGCCACCCGACUCAGCUGCUCCCAAAUUCCUGACCCACAGACACUGUGAGAGACAAUAAAUGCUUACUGUUGUUUUAAGCUGCUAAA